rnacentral:misc_RNA from 1 species
AAGUCGUAACAAGGUUUCCGUAGGUGAACCUGCGGAAGGAUCAUUCGUGUAAUUCGUUAUUCCUGGCACAUUCUCUCUCUAAUUAGUGAGGGGGUGUGUCAAGAACAACUACACACUUUGUGAACGAAAUAGCUGAGACAGCCGGUGCCCAAUGCUCUACCGUGGUAUUGUGUUGGGCAACAGCCGUCGUAUUUCAUAAACCUUUAACUAACAUGUAUUACAAUACACUACAGCCAAUGAGAAACUAAUUAAAUACAACCUUUAACAAUGGAUCUCUUGGUUCCU